rnacentral:rRNA from 1 species
UACGGAGGUGGCAAGCGUUGUUCGGAAUUACUGGGCGUAAAGCGUGCGUAGACGGUUAUGUAAGUCGGAUGUGAAAGCCCCGGGCUCAACCCGGGAAGUGCACUCGAUACUGUCGAGCUAGAGUAUCGGAGAGGUUGGUGGAAUUCUCGGUGUAGAGGUGAAAUUCGUAGAUAUCGAGAGGAACACCGGUGGCGAAGGCGGCCAACUGGACGAAUACUGACGCUGAGACUCGAAAGCGUGGGGGGAGCAAACAGG